rnacentral:rRNA from 1 species
UACGUAGGGGGCAAGCGUUGUCCGGAAUUAUUGGGCGUAAAGAGCGCGUAGGCGGUCCGGUAAGUCCGCUCUGAAAGUCCGGGGCUCAACCCCGGGAGGCGGGCGGAUACUGUCGGGCUAGAGUCCGGAAGAGGCGAGUGGAAUUCCUGGUGUAGCGGUGAAAUGCGCAGAUAUCAGGAGGAACACCAAUGGCGAAGGCAGCUCGCUGGGACGGUACUGACGCUGAGGCGCGAAGGCGUGGGGAGCAAACAGG